AAUUCAGAAAGAUCAUUAUAGCAGCAACUUGAACAUCUUUUAGAACUUCUCAUGAUUGGCGCAUAAGCGAAAUUGGAACACAAUGUUCAUGAAAUGAUGAUGUUACACGUCAUAAACUCAGAAUAAAAACUGGUUAUUAAAUCUACACAAUAACAAACCAUUACGGUACUAAAAUUAUUCUCACACAAAUACAACAUUGUUAUCAUCAAAACUCA
rnacentral:lncRNA from 1 species